UACGUAGGGUGCAAGCGUUGUCCGGAAUUAUUGGGCGUAAAGAGCUCGUAGGCGGUUCGGUAAGUCGGGUGUGAAACCUCCAGGCUCAACCUGGAGACGCCACCCGAUACUGCUGUGACUAGAGUCCGGUAGGGGAGCGUGGAAUUCCUGGUGUAGCGGUGAAAAUGCGUAGAGAUCGGGAGGAAGGCCGGUGGCGAAGGCGGCGCUCUGGAACAUUUCUGACGCUGAGGCUCGAAAGCGUGGGGAGCAAACAGGG
rnacentral:rRNA from 1 species